rnacentral:rRNA from 1 species
UACGUAGGGAGCAAGCGUUGUUCGGAUUUACUGGGCGUAAAGGGCGCGUAGGCGGCGCGGUAAGUCACUUGUGAAAUCUCUGAGCUUAACUCAGAACGGCCAAGUGAUACUGCAGUGCUAGAGUGCAGAAGGGGCAAUCGGAAUUCUUGGUGUAGCGGUGAAAUGCGUAGAUAUCAAGAGGAACACCUGAGGCGAAGACGGGUUGCUGGGCUGACACUGACGCUGAGGCGCGAAAGCCAGGGGAGCAAACGGG